rnacentral:lncRNA from 1 species
AGAUGGUACACCCCCGCAGAGCGGCCCUUAAGAUGGUACACCCCCGCAGAGCGGCCCUCAAGAUGGUACAAAGAUGGUACACCCCUGUCUAACUUUCGCGGCUUACGAUAUUCCUGCGCGGAGCAUAGACAAUCAAAGAACCCUGUCUAACUUUUGCGGCUUACGAUAUUCCUGCGCGGAGCAUAGACAAUCAAAGAACCCUGUCUAACUUUCGCGGCUUACGAUAUUCCUGCGCGGAGCAUAGACAUUCUGAACUGACAACAGCUCGGACAUUCUGCGCUGAAAACUACUGAGAUAACUGAGAUAGCUGCUCUGAGGUAGCUGCGCUGAGGUAGCUGAGAUAACUGAGAUAGCUGAGAUAGCUGCCCUGAGGUAGCUGAGAUAACUGAGAUAGCUGCUCUAAGAUAGCUGAGAUAACUAGAUAGCUGCGCUGAGAUAGCUGCGCAGAGGUAGCUGAGAUAAAUGUCCUGACUAGAUANCAGCUCUGCUGCGCUGCUCUGGUCUGCGCUGGUGGUGUUGCACUUUUAGCAAGGUAGCAUCUCUGCACUUUGGUCAAGGCUGAUUGACUCUUCAUAUUCAUUUAUAGCAAGUCUUUUUAGUAAACCUGCGCUGGUUAGUUUAUAUAAUAAUAAUAAUAAUAAUAAUAAUAAUAAUAAUAAUAAUAAUAAUAAUAAUAAUAAUAAUAAUAAUAAUAAGGUAAAAUAGGCUUGGAUUACUAAGUACAGCGCUGAUGAGUAUUCCAGUCCUCAUCAGCUACUCCCCCUAGUCUGGUUGAACCGGGUAUUCUUCGUGUUCAACCAGCGAAGUAUUGUGAAAGCCAGUGUUGUGCUGUUUUCCUUAAUCCCUGCAAAUCAUGAAGACAUAAGAGUUCUAAUAUUGUAAGAAAGCAAAGAUAAGCAUUUUCCCCUUGACUUUGGAAUUGUAAUUCCAAGUUAGAUUUCCUUCUUGUGAAGUGGCGUGUUUAUCCUUUUAAUCAAAGUGCUGAAAUUUUCUUUAGAAAUUUUGCUAACUCCUCCUUUGAUGAUUUCGCUGACUCCUCUGAUUGGAUUUCUCUGAUUUUGAUAUGGUUGAUGGUUUCCUUAUGACAUCCUUGCAUUCGUUGACUGGUGUUGCCGUAAUUUCUCUGACUCUUCCUUUGGCGAACUCCCUGUGUUUGCCUUUCUGUGGAUUUCUCUGGUCCCGCCUUUUGGGGAUUUCGCUGACUCCUCUGGCAAGGAUUUCGCUGACUCCUCUGGCGAGAAUUUCGCUGACUCCUCUGGUGAGGACUUCGCUGAUUUCUCUGGUGAGGAUUUCGCUGAUUCCUCUGGCGAGGAUUUCGCUGAUUCCUCUGGCGAGGACUUCGCUGAUUCCUCUGGCGAGGAUUUCGCUGACUCCUCUGGCGAGGAUUUCGCUUAUUCCUCUGGCGAGGACUUCGCUGAUUCCUCUGGCGAGGACUUCGCUGAUUCCUCUGGCGAGGAUUUCGCUGCUGCUCCUCUUGCGAGGAUUUCUCUGCUGCUUCCAUCCAAGCAUUCCUCUGCGUGCCUUUCACUGACUCCUCUGCGCGGACUUCGCUGAUUCCUCGCCUCUGGCGAGGAUUUAUGCCUCUGCUCUGGUGGUCGCAUGAUCUCUCUGCUCUGGUGGCAGCAUGAUCCCUCUGCUCUGGUGGCAGCAUGAUCCCUCUGCUCUUCCCCUUGUUCGAGCGUUGUCCCUGGCUGUUUAUUUUUCCCUUGACUUGCUAAGCAGCAAUUUUGAAUUUGUAAAUUAUGGGCUAUAGGUAUACACCCUACUCCCUCCUCUGGUGACAUGUGCAAUGCUCUGCAUGAACAUGUUAAGUGAAGUAUAUAUUUGUAAAGAAAUAGCAUAAAGAAAUAGCUACUCCCCCCCUGGUCUAGUUGAACAACGUUCUCUUUGUUCAACUAGUGGUGUGUGGUGUGAAGUCAGCGCUGUAAAUGAACUAAGAUAAAAAGAUGAUAAUUUUUCCUUUUGAUUCGUCGAGCAUCAUUAAAGAUGAUAAGGGCUUAGAUAACCUGUGCUGAGAAGACUCAAGUGAUCUGCGCUGAGAUAACUGAUAUAGCUGCUCUGAGAUGACCGUGUUGACUGCGCUGAGAUGACAACCCCGCGUUGACUGCGCUGCACUGACUGCGCUGACAACCCCGCGCUGACUGCGCUGCGUUGUCCUGACUGCGUUGUGAAGACUUUGUGAAACAUUGGUGGUACACCCCCGCAGAGCGGUCCUCAAGAUGGUACACCCCCGCAGAGCGGCCCUUAAGAUGGUACACCCCCGCAGAGCGGCCCUUAAGAUGGUACAAAGAUGGUACACCCCCGCAGAGCGGCCCUCAAGAUGGUACACCCCUGUCUAACUUUCGCGGCUUACGAUAUUCCUGCGCGGAGCAUAGACAAUCAAAGAACCCUGUCUAACUUUCGCGGCUUACGAUAUUCCUGCGCGGAGCAUAGACAAUCAAAGAACCCUGUCUAACUUUCGCGGCUUACGAUAUUCCUGCGCGGAGCAUAGACAAUCAAAGAACCCUGUCUAACUUUCGCGGCUUACGAUAUUCCUGCGCGGAGCAUAGACAUUCUGAACUGACAACGGCUCGGACAUUCUGCGCUGAAAACUACUGAGAUAACUGCACUGAGGUGGCUGCCCUGAGGUAGCUGAGAUAACUAGAUAGCUGCUCUGAGAUAGCUGCGCUGAGGUAGCUGCCCUGAGGUAGCUGAGAUAACUGAGAUAGCUGCUCUAAGAUAGCUG